CUGUAACAAAUGGCCACCUUUUCCCACUUCCAAGACAAGUGCAAAUCAAGCAAUAUUACAGCAGUGGAACAAAAUUUUUUCUAAAUCUAAAGUACUUCAUAUUCAUGGCAGAACUCUCUGGAAAUGAAAGAAUGACCCAUUGUCACCAAGAAUUCCUAGCUGGUGAGACACAGCACAAUGGACUGCCAAAAGAUUUUAUUUUAUUUUCUUCCCUCCUUCGGUCAGCCUAAACAGGAGAAGGAAAACGGUCAACGCUUAGAAAUGCAAAGAAUGAGGAUGGGUUAUAUCCCGUUGCCGUCACAGACAACUCUGAUCUCGCUACCAUCUCACUACCGUCUCACAACGUCUUUCAUUUCCCCCACGGUCCGCCUCCUGAUGUAGCCAUUUUGCCAUGUUAGAAAUUCGCAGGAUUCGGCCCUCAUGUUAAAUCACACCACUGGGCUGCAGAACCUCAAGGCCUCAAGGUGCAGCGCUGCCGUGCAUGCUGGGUAACGGCAUCCCUGCCUCGCCAUUCACAGAGGACAUGGCACAGCAUCCUGGGGGUACCAGAGCAAAUACCAGGGGCAAAUCAACAAGAGAAUAUCUACCUGUGUGGCUGAUAUCUGAACAUGGGUGACCAGGCAUCACCUUAAGCUCAGCCUCAACAAGACCGAGCUGCUGCUCAUCCCGUACAAGACCCCCCCUGCUACGGGAGCCCUCAAUCGCUGUCGAUGGCACCACAGUGACUGCCUCUCGCUCUGCAGAAAGCCUGGGGGGGGUGGUCCUGGAUGACAAAACCGGACCUCAAGGAGCACAUCACCUACACUGCAGCCAACAGGACAGCCCCCCCCCCCCACGUACGGGACAUCGGGACAUGAUUCAAUCCCGCACGCCGGCUCGACCACUCCGCUCUGCUGCAGCAGGGCGGCUCACUCUCUCCCUGCCUUCCGGGUGAAUGGUUCUCGCACGUCCUCCACUACGGAGCUUCUCCCCCCUAGCUCCCCAGCGGUGGAACAGACUCCCUGUCCCUCUGAGAACCACUCCGUCGUUGCUCAUCUUUCACUGUGGUCCAAAGACGCAUCUCAUCAGACUAUACCUGGACUAACUAUCACUGCUGUGCAGGGCACUCCCAAUCUAGAAUCACAUUUAUCACUUGUAUCCUUCUAUAUUGUUCUUGUAGGACUUUUGUGUUACACUUGUACCUUCAUCCAGCACUUAUGUUGCACUUGUAUGGUUAUCUCGAUGUUAUAGCUUGUUGACGUGCCUCCUAGUUUGACUUACCAAAACUUUCUGACAUAGACGACACUUACUGCUUGAACUGGACUUAAUGUGUUCAUGGCUAUGAAUAACUUACCAAAUGAGCAUUGUAACUUAUCGGACGUGUGUUUUGUAAUUGUUCCAAUUGUCUUCAGUAUUCAGUUAUGGUAUGUUGCUUUUGAUAAGUGUCUGACAAAUGGAGGUAAUGUAAAGGAAUGUACUUUACAAUUUUCCCAUGAAUGAUAUUUUUCAUCAUGAAUUUCAUGAAAUUAAUUUCUGCGCAAUUAUUUCACCAUGGUAGAUAGAUAAAUAAUAUUUCCUAUCCACCUAUAUCAUUAAAUUGUAUUUUGAAAUACUUUGCAUUUUUUCCUGUCUUUGGACAUAAGACUAUAGGCUUAUAUAUUUUCCAGUUUUCCCAUGAAUCAUAUUUUUCAUCAUAAAUUUCAUAAAAUUAAUUUCUACUCAUUUAUUUCACCAUGGUAGAUACAUAAAUGUUAUUUCCUAUCCACCUAAAACAUUAAAGUGUAUUUUGAAAUAUUUUGCAUUUUUUCCUGUCUUUGGACAUAAGACUAUAGGCUUAUAUAUUUUCCAGUUUUUCCAUGAAUCAUAUUUUUCAUCAUAAAUUUCAUAAAAUUAAUUUCUACUCAUUUAUUUCACCAUAGAAAAUACAUAAAUAAUAUUUCCUAUCCACCUAUAUCAUUAAAUUGUAUUUUGAAAUAUUUUGCAUUUUUUCCUGUCUUUGGACAUAAGACUAUAGGCUUAUAUAUUUUCCAGUUUUCCCAUGAAUCAUAUUUUUCAUCAUAAAUUUCUAAAAAAUCAUUUCUACUCAUAUAUUUCACCAUAGAAAAUACAUAAAUAAUAUUUCCUAUCCACCUAUAUCAUUAAAUUGUAUUUUGAAAUAUUUUGCAUUUUUUCCUGUCUUUUUACAUAAGGCUAUAGGCUUAUAUAUUUUCCAGUUUUCCCAUGAAUCAUAUUUUUCAUCAUAAAUUUCUAAAAAAUCAUUUCUACUCAUAUAUUUCACCAUAGAAAAUACAUAAAUAAUAUUUCCUAUCCACCUAUAUCAUUAAAUUGUAUUUUGAAAUAUUUUGCAUUUUUUCCUGUCUUUGGACAUAAGACUAUAGGCUUAUAUAUUUUCCAGUUUUUCCAUGAAUCAUAUUUUUCAUCAUAAAUUUCUAAAAAAUCAUUUCUACUCAUUUAUUUCACCAUGGUAGAUACAUAAAUGUUAUUUCCUAUCCACCUAAAACAUUAAAGUGUAUUUUGAAAUAUUUUGCAUUUUUUCCUGUCUUUGGACAUAAGACUAUAGGCUUAUAUAUUUUCCAGUUUUUCCAUGAAUCAUAUUUUUCAUCAUAAAUUUCUAAAAAAUCAUUUCUACUCAUUUAUUUC